rnacentral:rRNA from 1 species
CCUACGGGAGGCAGCAGUAGGGAAUAUUGGGCAAUGGGCGGAAGCCUGACCCAGCCAUGCCGCGUGCAGGAUGACGGCGUUAUGCGUUGUAAACUGCUUUUUUAUAGGAAGAAGGAGACCUUGCGAGGUUUGGUGACGGUACUAUAAGAAUAAGCACCGGCUAACUCCGUGCCAGCAGCCGCGGUAAUACGGAGGGUGCGAGCGUUGUCCGGAUUUAUUGGGUUUAAAGGGUGCGUAGGCGGCUUAUUAAGUCAGUGGUGAAAGACGGUCGCUCAACGAUUGCAGUGCCAUUGAUACUGGUAGACUUGAGUUCGUAUGAGGUAGCUGGAAUGGAUAGUGUAGCGGUGAAAUGCAUAGAUAUUAUCCAGAACUCCAAUUGCGUAGGCAGGUUACUAAUACGAUACUGACGCUGAUGCACGAAAGUGUGGGGAUCAAACAGGAUUAGAUACCCUGGUAGUCCACACUGUAAACGAUGAUGACUAACUGUUUGCCCUUUGGGGUGAGUGGUACAGAGAAAUCGUUAAGUCAUCACCUGGAGUACGCCGGCGACGAGAACGACGAAAGAAGUAGACGCGUGAGACGUAGCCGACGGACGACGACGAGGGGAGGAGG